rnacentral:rRNA from 1 species
UACGUAGGGUGCAAGCGUUAAUCGGAAUUACUGGGCGUAAAGCGUGCGCAGGCGGUGAUGUAAGACAGUUGUGAAAUCCCCGGGCUCAACCUGGGAACUGCAUCUGUGACUGCAUCGCUGGAGUACGGUAGAGGGGGAUGGGAAUUCCGCGUGUAGCAGUGAAAUGCGUAGAUAUGCGGAGGAACACCGAUGGCGAAGGCAAUCCCCUGGACCUGUACUGACGCUCAUGCAC